UGGAAGUUAAUUAGACUAAUUAAAUUAGGUGGGAUUUAAGAUUAGUUAUAAUUAACUAAUUUUGUGUCAAUCAAGAUUCAUUAAGACUAAGUAUUGCUCAAUUAAAUUAAUUAGUAUAAUGGCUUAAAAAUUUGAGAGUGCAUGUGGGUGCGGGUGUACUGAAAAUAAAGUGAGUGUACAAAGACAUCUGUUAGUGUGUGCAUGUGAGAAUGUUGUGUUGGGAGCCUUAGAUGAGUGCACGUGUGUGUGUAUGUGAUGUGCUGAAAAUCAAGUGCGAUUAGUGUGUUAAGCUAAUGAAACAUGGAUUCAUAUUAUGUGGACAAGUGUCCCACUAAAUUAAUAAAUAAAAUAAUAAAAUAAAAGAUGAAGAAUGGAGUCACAAAGCUUUGUUUUUGCUGGAGUCAAAUUAGAGAGAGUGCACGGGAGAGAAAGAGAGAGAGAGUAAGAAAGAGAGGUCCAACUCUUAUGCUGGAAGAAACUUUGGAGAAAUGAGUUUAUGAGAUCUACAUGAAGAUAAAGGAGAGGACUCAAGGAAUUAAAAGGAAAUUCAGCCAUGGGAGAUUAAAGGUCUUGGCGAGGAAAUAAUUGAAGCUGAAAUGGAGUUGACGCUAACGUAGAGCCUUGGCUGACUUGAAACCCUGAUUAGAGCCGAAUAAAUUAUAUUAUUUUAUAUAAUAGCUAUUAAGGACUUUAUAAUUUCAUUUGAUGUUGUAUUUGGAUAAUUUUAAGUUUUUAUCUAUUGUUAUUUGAACAUUUCGCUAUGUACGAGAGUUGGAUUGCCUUAUUAAGAUGCCAACUUUUUGGUUUAUUAAGUCAUUUUGUUGAUUUAAUUUCCCUUGAUGUUAUAAAAAUUUGGGGCGUCACACUGUUUGUUUA